ACGGGUGAGUAAUGUCUGGGAAACUGCCCGGUGGAGGGGGAUAACUACUGGAAACGGUAGCUAAUACCGCAUAACGUCUUCGGACCAAAGUGGGGGAUCUUCGGACCUCACGCCACCGGAUGUGCCCAGAUGGGAUUAGCUAGUAGGUGGGGUAACGGCUCACCUAGGCGACGAUCCCUAGCUGGUCUGAGAGGAUGACCAGCCACACUGGAACUGAGACACGGUCCAGACUCCUACGGGAGGCAGCAGUGGGGAAUAUUGCACAAUGGGCGCAAGCCUGAUGCAGCCAUGCCGCGUGUAUGAAGAAGGCCUUCGGGUUGUAAAGUACUUUCAGCGGGGAGGAAGGCGGUGAGGUUAAUAACCUCGCCGAUUGACGUUACCCGCAGAAGAAGCACCGGCUAACUCCGUGCCAGCAGCCGCGGUAAUACGGAGGGUGCAAGCGUUAAUCGGAAUUACUGGGCGUAAAGCGCACGCAGGCGGUCUGUUAAGUCAGAUGUGAAAUCCCCGGGCUUAACCUGGGAACUGCAUUUGAAACUGGCAGGCUUGAGUCUCGUAGAGGGGGGGUAGAAUUCCAGGU
rnacentral:rRNA from 1 species